GGCCAGACUCCUACGGGAGGCAGCAGUGGGGAAUCUUCCGCAAUGGGCGCAAGCCUGACGGAGCAAUGCCGCGUGAACGAAGAAGGUCUUCGGAUUGUAAAGUUCUGUCCUUAUCGAAGAGAGGGUAUAGAGUGAAAAAUGAUAUACUAGGACGGUAGAUGAGGAGGAAGCCCCGGCUAACUACGUGCCAGCAGCCGCGGUAAUACGUAGGGGGCGAGCGUUGUCCGGAUUCACUGGGUGUAAAGGGAGCGUAGACGGCCAUGCAAGCCAGGGGUGAAAGCCCGGGGGCCAACCCCGGGACUGCCCUUGGAACUGCAUGGCUGGAGUGCGGGAGGGGCAGGCGGAAUUCCUGGUGUAGCGGUGAAAUGCGUAGAUAUCAGGAGGAACACCGGCGGCGAAGGCGGCCUGCUGGACCGCGACUGACGUUGAGGCUCGAAAGCGUGGGGAGCGAACAGGAUUAGAUACCCCAGUAC
rnacentral:rRNA from 1 species